AUUUGCCUGAGUUCACAUUUCCACAGAUUGUCAGGCCACUUAGGGGAACAGGAAGAUGUUACAUUUCUAACAAGCUCCCGGGUUCCAGCUGCUGCCACGACUGCGUACUUUGGAAACUGAGUGGAAGACCCAGCCAGCUGCCCAGAGCCUCGGGCAUCUGCCCAUGUGUGCCCAGCUGCCCCUGCAGCUUUACUCUGUGGCACAUUAAGCUCUUGCCCUUUUUACAACGGAAAAAAAAUGAAAUGAAGAAGUGAUAAAGGGAGUUCCAAUUUAAUUUUUCCAGAAGGACAUAAAAUCAAAGUACAUAGAGUGGUACAGAAAGGGCAGCUGAAUUCACUGGGGAGCUUUUCUCCCCCUUCCCCCAUUGUCUUCAACUCUCUCCUGGUUUUGUCCCAAUUUUGUGAUUUUCUAAAAAACAAAUUAAAAUAAUGAAAACAGAGCUUAAACCCAAAGCAAGAAGACAACCCUCUAUAAAAUGUAAUGACAAACCGCAACCUCUAAUCAGACCUUUUAAAUGGCACGCCUCACUCUAAA
rnacentral:lncRNA from 1 species